UUGCCUACGGGACGCAGCAGUAGGGAAUCUUCCACAAUGGACGAAAGUCUGAUGGAGCAACGCCGCGUGAGUGAAGAAGGGUUUCGGCUCGUAAAGCGCUGUUGGUAGUGAAGAAAGAUAGAGGUAGUAACUGGCCCUUAUUUGACGGUAAUUACUUAGAAAGUCACGGCUAACUACGUGCCAGCAGCCGCGGUAAUACGGAGGAUGCGAGCGUUAUCCGGAUUUAUUGGGUUUAAAGGGGGCGUAGGCGGUCCGGAAAGUCUGCGGUAAAAGCCCGGGGCUCAACCCC
rnacentral:rRNA from 1 species